UCAACGGAUAAAAGGUACUCCGGGGAUAACAGGCUGAUGACUCCUAAGAGCUCCUAUCGACGGAGUCGUUUGGCACCUCGAUGUCGACUCAUCACAUCCUGGAGCUGAAGAAGGUUCCAAGGGUUCGGCUGUUCGCCAUGGAUUUUUUUAUUUCUUCUCCUUUUACUAAAGUUGUAUAAAUAAUAUUAAAAGAGAAUAAAGAUGAAAAAAGAUAAAUAAGAACCAAAAGAAGAUAUAGCAUUCCAACCAGAAAAAGAAUCAGGAAAGUCAGGAAUUCACAGACUUCGGAGCAGAAAGUCUGUUU
rnacentral:ncRNA from 1 species